UCUUUUCAGAAUUGAGUGGCAAACGGGUGAGUAACACGUAAACAACCUGCCUUCAGGAUGGGGACAACAGACGGAAACGACUGCUAAUACCGCAUAACACGUAGGAGUCGCAUGGCCCAUGGAAGAAAAGGUGGCCUCUACCUGUAAGCUAUCGCCUGAAGAGGGGUUUGCGUCUGAUUAGCUGGUUGGAGGGGUAACGGCCCACCAAGGCGACGAUCAGUAGCCGGUCUGAGAGGAUGAACGGCCACAUUGGGACUGAGAUACGGCCCAGACUCC
rnacentral:rRNA from 1 species